rnacentral:lncRNA from 1 species
ACACAAUGAUGUCAUUAAAAGUUUGAGAGCAUUUAAGCCAAAAUUGUUGAAGAUUAACUCUGUCAUAAUUUUUAGAUUUGGUGCAAUUCCAUAGUUCAUAACUAACGAAUUACAAUAGAAGAUAUUAUUUCGAUAAAGCCAUUACUGUAACACUUGGUACUGGACAGAUGAAGUUCUUGGGAACUGUAAAACACCAACAUCGGUUCCGACUAAUU